rnacentral:rRNA from 1 species
GACGAACGCUGGCGGCGUGCCUAAUACAUGCAAGUCGAGCGAAGUUUUUCUGGUGCUUGCACUAGAAAAACUUAGCGGCGAACGGGUGAGUAACACGUAAAGAACCUGCCUCAUAGACUGGGACAACUAUUGGAAACGAUAGCUAAUACCGGAUAACAGCAUUAACUGCAUGGUUGAUGUUUAAAAGUUGGUUAUGCUAACACUAUGAGAUGGCUUUGCGGUGCAUUAGCUAGUUGGUGGGGUAAAGGCCCACCAAGGCGACGAUGCAUAGCCGACCUGAGAGGGUGAUCGGCCACACUGGGACUGAGACACGGCCCAGACUCCUACGGGAGGCAGCAGUAGGGAAUCUUCCGCAAUGGGCGAAAGCCUGACGGAGCAACGCCGCGUGAGUGAAGAAGGAUUUCGGUUCGUAAAGCUCUGUUGUUAGGGAAGAAUGGAUAUGUAGUAACUAUACAUGUACGAGACG